rfam:Eutrema salsugineum unplaced genomic scaffold scaffold_5, whole genome shotgun sequence.
AAACCGUGGUGAAGACGUUUUCUGAUGUAACCUUUAAAAGAUCCCAAAUUUCAUGAAAAGGUUCGCCUCCUUUUUGUUGGAACCUAUAAAUCUUUUCUCUCAAGAAC